rnacentral:tRNA from 1 species
GCUGUCGUAGCUCAGUGGGUAGAGCACCUAAAAUACCUUUUCCGACAACUCGUCCGAGUCGGGCCGGCAGGGGAAGGUUAUCAUUCUAUGAGGCGGACACGGGUUCGAGUCCCGUCGACGGCG